AACGAACGCUGGCGGCAUGCCUAACACAUGCAAGUCGAACGAGACCUUCGGGUCUAGUGGCGCACGGGUGCGUAACGCGUGGGAACCUGCCCUUAGGUUCGGAAUAACUCCCCGAAAGGGGUGCUAUUACCGGAUAUUGUCUUCGGACCAAAGAUUUAUCGCCUUUGGAUGGGCCCGCGUUGGAUUAGCUAGUUGGUAGGGUAAAAGCCUUCCAAGGCGACGAUCCAUAGCUGGUCUGAGAGGAUGAUCAGCCACACUGGGACUGAGACACGGCCCAGACUCCUACGGGAGGCAGCAGUGGGGAAUAUUGGACAAUGGGCGAAAGCCUGAUCCAGCAAUGCCGCGUGAGUGAUGAAGGCCUUAGGGUUGUAAAGCUCUUUUACCCGGGAUGAUAAUGACAGUACCGGGAGAAUAAGCUCCGGCUAACUCCGUG
rnacentral:rRNA from 1 species